UACGGGGGGGGGUAAGCGUUGUUCGGAAUUACUGGGCGUAAAGGGCUCGUAGGCGGCCAACUAAGUCAUACGUGAAAUCCCUCAGCUUAACUGGGGAACUGCGUGUGAUACUGGAUGGCUUGGAUUGGGAGAGGGAUGCGGAAUUCCAGGUGUAGCGGUGAAAUGCGUAGAUAUCUGGAGGAACACCGGUGGCGAAGGCGGCAUCCUGGACCAAUAUUGACGCUGAGGAGCGAAAGCCAGGGGAGCAAACGGG
rnacentral:rRNA from 1 species